GCAGACGCGCUGCUACCCCUCGUCACGCAGCCGCAGACGCCGCGGCCGAUCCGGGGAGACGACGCCGCGACCCGGCGACCGCCGCCGUCGGAGCGGAUCACCAAGACGCGGCCUUCGUGGAUCACCAGGACGCCGCCACUCCUCCCUCUACCGGCUUCGAUCCUUUGUCUAGGGUUCUACGCCGCCGCCGCCCCUGCUCCCGCAUCUCACCUUCGUCCACGAGCACCUGCUGCUGCCACAGUGCGCCGGGCGCAUCCCUUCCGCCAGCGCCGACCAUCUCCCUCCCUCCAGCGCCGGCCGCCUCCCUCCCCAAGUGCGAGUGCCAGUUGCCUCCCCGCGGCCGCCUCCAUCCCCUCCCUCGAACGCACUGGGCCUGCCGAAUCUCGCCGUCGAGCGCGUGGGCCACCCAGGCAGCCAACCUCGUUCGUCAUCUCGGCCACCAUGAUCUACACCGACCAGGCCCUCGGCGAGCAAGCAGUCCCGUUGAUGGGAUUCCCAUGGAGGAUGUUGCCUUGCUGGCGUGGCGGUUGUUGUGCUCAUGUGGUCCUCUCAUGUCGCAGCAGCCAACUACGAUGAUUCACUGAUCUUGCUCUCUCAUGGUAAGGAGCCUGUGGCUCUCAGGUCUCAACUAAUCACAAGGUCCUCUUCUUCCCUCCGAUCUCCUCGACCUGUCCGACGCCGGCGACUCCUCACCGCCCCGGGCCUUUGGAAGAAAAGUUUGGACCAUCCCUCGAUCUCCUCUCCCUGGCCGACACCGCCGUCUCCUCAGCUUCGAGGAGAGGACGACUGUCAAGGACCGGCAUUCGCCGGCGCGCAGCUCGGCGUUGGUCAGGAAGAGCACCAGCGUCAUGCCCAGGCUCAUGACCCACAGCCGGAGCUUCGUCGCCGACAGGGGCGACCCUCCUCCGCCGUCGAACAAGAUCCCCAAGAGCCCCUUCCCACCUGAGAAGAUCUCGAUGAGCUUCACGUCCGUGUGGAUCAUGAGCAGGAUGGCCAGGAAGGAGGAGCCCUCCUCGCCGGUCUCCGACGACAACGACGACGUUGGCAGCACAGCCAUGUCCUCCAAGCGGCGCCCCUUGUCGGUCGCUCGGGUGCCGUGCCGGGAAAGCUCAAUGCUCUCGGGAAGCCAUGGAGCAGAGGGAGCAGGCGCAGAAGGUGGCACUUGAGGCCUUGCGCAACGCGUCGGCGACGGAGAACGUAGUUAGGAUCUACAAGUAUGUCCAGCAAUGGCACCUCUUUUUCCUAUGGCAAUUUGACACCGUCUGGACAGAGUGGCUUGUCUGCUUGAGCCCGCAUACUACGACGGCCAACUUGCUCGGUGCACGCGUCGGUUGGUCCCAGGUCAGGCCCCUCUAGAUCCCACUGGGAAGCUGCAGUACUGGAUGGAUGAGAACUACGCUUACAAUUGCGAGCACUGCAAGGUAUGCAUGUGUCCCUCUUCCACAGUCUGAUCUAUGUACUUUGUCCCUUUUUCCUUAGCAAACAAUGCAUUCUGCGAUAAUGAGCAUAUAGUGUCGAACUAUUAUUAUAACAUUGCAGUUUUGUUCGAGUCCAAGUUCCCGACCAUCAUCUCACAUAUAGUGUUCUCAAAUUAGAUCGAUAGUAAUGCAACUUUAUGCUAGAAUGUGCAACAAAACUAUCUUGUUUGUAUCUGUUAACUGUUGAAUCCCCAAGAUGAAUGCCCGUACAAGAAGCUUGUCAAUCCUAAAUUCUUUCUUAGUAAACAUAUUUGAUCACAUAGUUUUCUUUUUUUGUGAAUUCCGAACAUACUACUUGGAGGAAGGAGGGGGCGGCACAGAGAGGGUCCUCACACAGUCCAGUGAUCAACCACGACGACGCGGCCGUGCGGUGGGUACCCACAGACGCCGCUCUACCGGGUCGGAGGAGGAGUCCAGAUCCGGCACCUCACCAAGGUCGGCUCUGCACGGUGAGUGCAACUGCCUUGAGAAACCCGGCCCGGCCAUCUUCUCCCCCGAGUUGCUGCCACAGCGAACCCUAUAGGCGCCUCUGCGCCCCAGUCAAGUCUCAUGUGUGCGUUGAUUUAGUUGGAGUGUACUGUUGAGAUCAAUGUCGGGAUCCGCAAGUACUACUAUUCAGAGUUCCCGUGGACUUUUCGUUCAGGCAAAUGAUAGCCUUCUUAAAAUUGCAUUUUGUUGUUGGUGUUUUAGGUUUCUAUUGCGUAGCAUCAGAUUAAUAUUGCCAAGCAUGAGCUGGCGGGGCAUAUGGAAGAUAUCCCAUGGGCCAGCAGCUGGAGCCUGGAAGCGGAUGUUAAUGCUCCAUAGCAGAGAGUUUAGGUUUACAGCAAGCAGCGACUACCAAAUUUUCCAUGGCUAGUGUUGAUUCCUAAUGAUCCGUGGUUUAUAACAUUGACGAUAACAUCUAGGCUAUCUCAAAUUUACCAUCAGAAUAGUGAUCUUUGUGCAUGAUUGGUUUAAAUUAAUUUUUUCAUCCCAGCUCUUCUGUUUACAGUAGGAUAUAAACGGAGAUUGUCAUGGAGAUGGUUGCCAUCAGUUCCAUUUUGUUGCACAUCACAAGCCUGCCAUUUUAGUACCUUGAGGUCUGACUCAUGCAUGCAGAUGGGGAGAUGCAUUCAUGUGCUUGCUGUUGCGUGCCAGUAGCUUCGUUCAGUUGCUUCAGUGGGAUAAAGUUACUCGAUGUGGAUUUUGUUCUGUAAACGUUCAACAAAUUUGCCAGCGAGUAGUUUGACACAUACGAGCAUGAGGUUCUUCUGGUAACAAGUUCUUGAUGCGUCGAUAGGAUAAGUUUUACAGAAAUGAGAUGAUCUUCUUAAGGGAGGCAUUUUUACAUCUUUGCACAGGUGUACUUUUGCGGCUGUACUUUUGUUAAUUGAAAGUGGAAUUACCCCAAUUGAUAACCAAAUUUUGUGCUCACUGCCGACAUGGGAUUGACGAUGACGUCCCAGAGCCCUUGCCUCUGCUUGAUGCUGCGUCGAGCAAGAUGAAGCCAUCAGAUACGUGUGGUGUGUAGAGUCCGUUCUAAUCAAUGGAAAGGAAGUGGAGGAAGGGAAAUUGCCUACAGAGUUAUUUACAUUUCAACCUGAUCACAAGGCCAUUAGAGAUUGGACUAUUCCACUCGGUCCGAACUACAUUAGGUCAAUUGUACAUUUUAUUCCAAGUUAUGAAGAAUACGAGCUGAGAACAUAUAGGAGCUCUAUGCGGUUUAAAUAUUUUUAUACGAAGUUUGAUGUACUUCUCAUGAAUAUCUUCGUAAACAGAAAUAAUGGUAAACCAUGCACUGCUACAUUAUGUUUCACCAGAAUCACUCUUUAUAAUAUCUUGUUGCUUUCA